GAGCUCGCUUCAGCAGCACAUAUACUAAAAUUGGAACGAUAGAGAGAAGAUUAUCAUGGCUGCCGCACAAAAAUGACACACAAAUUCGUAAAGCAUUCCAUAUUUUU
ensembl:snRNA U6 U6 spliceosomal RNA